UCCUAGGUGACUGAGUGGAAGUGCUAGACUUUUAAUCUAGAGACAGCAUAUAUGAGAAUGCUUCUAGGAA
rnacentral:tRNA from 1 species